CAUGUCUAUCAUGCUCCCUCGAGGUUCCCACAAUCCGCAGCACAGUAUACAGUAUACUGUGCUGGGAAUUGUGGGAACCGCGAGGGAGCAUGGUAGACAU